AUACGUAGGGUGCAAGCGUUAAUCGGAAUUACUGGGCGUAAAGCGUGCGCAGGCGGGUUUGUAAGAACGUGGUGAAAUCCCCGGGGUCAACCUGGGAACUGCCAUUGUGACUGCAAGGCUGGAGUGCGGCAGAGGGGGGUUGAAUUUCGCGUGUAGGCGGGACAUGCGUAGAUAUGCGGAGGAACACCGAUGGCGAAGGCAAUCCCCUGGGCCUGCACUGACGCUCAUGCACGAAAGCGUGGGGAGCAAACAGGAUUAGAUACCCUGGUAGUCCACGCCCUAAACGAUGUCAACUGGUUGUUGGGGAUUUAUUUUCUCAGUAACGAAGCUAACGCGUGAAGUUGACCGCCUGGGGAGUACGGCCGCAAGGUUAAAACUCAAAGGAAUUGACGGGG
rnacentral:rRNA from 1 species